rnacentral:lncRNA from 1 species
AUUGCUGGAACAUUCUCUUGGAGAGCCCUAAGCUACUAUGUAAUAAAUCCAGCCACCCCGAGACCCCAAUACUGGAAGGUCCUACAAGAAAUCACGAGGUCAAAGAGUAUGAACCUUUUCAAGGCUCUGCUACCUGUCAAACUGCCCUCCUGAAAUACUGAAUCAUUUACACUCCCACGAGAAAUGAAUAUUCUAAGAUCUUCCUCCAAGUCACACUAGAAUACAAUCCAGGAAAUAAAUUAUGCCACAGAUGCCAUCUUGCAUAUUGACAGUUCAGCCUGGUCAAGAAUUAGUCUAUACUAAAAUAUCUCAUAUGAACAUCAAAAGGUUGAAGUAAACUCAACAACUCAAAGGAUGCUUUUUUCAAGGGUAUGACUUAGGAAUAAAACUGUUUUGAGUAUACUAUGUAAAUAAGCCUCCAUUUUAGCAAAGGCUAAAUGAAAUUUAGCAGCCUUGAUACCCCUUAAAAUUUGUUACAAUGGAUUUAACUUGCAAUUUUAAAAUCAC